rnacentral:lncRNA from 1 species
AUCUCCUGGACUGACCCAUGUUGCUGGUGCCCAGUCCCCCUGACCUCAGGAGAGCCAGACCCACCCUCAGCAGAAGACCCCUCUGGUGGCCCCUCCCCAACCGCUCCACUCAGGAGUCUCAGGUGACCCCACUGCAGGACCCUGGAGGAGUGCCAGCCCCAGACCCAGUAGGUGGUCCUCGUGGUCUUAGCCCCACGUUUCUGAGAGGUAAGGGCCCUCCCCCAGCAGAAAGCCCACAGGCCUCACCCUGGCUGCUUCCCGUUGUGUGCCAGUAUCCAGAAGACGUCACCUGCGCCCUGGGCUCACACACUCAUCACCGCAGCAGAGAGAGCCAGAGCCAGCAGGCCUGGCCAGUGUAUCAUGCCAAGUCCCAGACAAUAAACGCUCCAGGAGGAACAUGUCCUAUGCCGUUGUGCUGUUGGUCCCAGGGCUUGCUUCCAUCUCAGAAGGGCUGCUGCACCCUGGAGAGACGAGAGGUGGGGAGUGGAGCAACACACGUGGCACCUGGGUGCCCGAUGACAGAGACCCCUGAGAUACCAUGGCCUCCGUGGUUGCACUCCUGGAUUCCGAGCUGUGACAUUUCCUGUUGUUUCUCCUUCCCUGGUGGACAAGGGGCUUCCUGCCGCUGUUAG